AUGCCCUCUCGUUCGUUCACCUCACCCACUCGAGCUCACUCUCUCUGGUUCCCCUCUCACCCACCCCCUUCUCGAUCCCCUCCAGAUCCCCGUCGUCGCCGGCCUCUCCUCGUCGUCGUUCGCCGGCCUCUCCUCGCCACCACCGCGUACUCUGUUUCCUCCCACCGCGCACCCCGUUUCCUCCGGCCGCGCACACCGCACCGUAGGUCAAAAGCUUGCUUUUUUAGGCGCCGUCGACGAGCUUCUGGGCGGCGGAGGAUGGAUCCGCGUGCACUGAAGCUGGAUCCGCGCGUGUCGACGCCGUAG
rnacentral:rRNA from 1 species